UACAGAAGUCCAAUAAUGACUUCUGUCGAUUUAUCGUUUGAAAAUGUUCUCUAACAGAUUGUGAUCAUUUGAAAAGCUAAUGCAAAAAUAUUAAAUCAAGGCCUGAUUUAUUUCAUACCAACUUAGCAAUGAAGCAGACAGCUCCAGAAUAGUUGCCUUUUUUGUGUGCAUUCUUUGCAAUUUACCAGUAAUACCAUCUAAAACAUUAUAGAACACCUUAAGAAAAUAUCCAUUAGCUGAAAAUGCAAGUAAUGCUAGAAACUGUAAGCAUUCAAAUAAUAAUUUUAAACAAUAAAAUAUUAGACAAAAGAUAACAUGCAAAAAGUAUUGCCAGUCUUUAGUAAAUCCCCACAAUUGAGAGAUAGAAAAAUCUAAACCAGAUUUAUUGAUUCCUCUAGGUCCAUACAGGUAAAACUUUCUAAUGUUCGACAUAAUAUGCUGAAAAGUAAAUGUGCCUCUGAGAAACAAGACAGAAACUACAUUAGGACUUAUACACAUGUACACGUCAUUUCCCUUUGGUUGUUUAGAUAUAUCAUGCAAAUUAUAUAAAUAUCUAUUCUUGUUUUUUUUUAAUCUACUCUUUAUGUUCUGACCAUGCAAGUGACCUCCAUGAAUUCAUUCUUAUAUCCACAGUGAAUGUAUGUGACCAAACAUAUCUUACACAAAACAGAGAACCAUAACGGUGAUUGUUCUUCUCUCUCCAAUAAAUGAGGCAACCAGAGAUUUAUGUUGAUUGUUCUCAUAAUUUGAAGCUUC